ensembl:lncRNA
CUGUAUUAAACGUAGCACUUCCUCGUCCUCUGGAGCGCUCGGGUCCUGAGAACGGCUGUAAAGUAUGCGAGUGAAGAUUCUCCCACAUUGCAGAGGUUGCGGAGAGGUCGUGACCUCUGAGGGGAAAGGGGUCAAGAGCGGGCACUCCUCUCCACCUACCGGGCGCAAAACUUUUAAUCAAGCGCCCGUCAAUCACGCUGGAAUUUCACUGCAAGCUUGCACAGAUGGGAUUCGGUUCCCUUUCUGGUGCUCUUGUGUGUGUGUGUGUGUGUGUGUGUGUUUCGCAGUGAGUAAUACACUGUGUUCAGGUCACUGCUGGUGGAAACCGUCGUUCCAAAUGAUGCUUAUCCGCCUGCGUGUUAAAAGUCUGCUGCGUUACGGCAUUGCACGGUAUUGCAUCAUGGAAUCAGGAUGCAUUUGGGGCAGGAUGUGUCUUUCUCAAACGCUUCAAAUAAGAAUAAAAAAACCCCCGGCUGAAACGUUCGUACGUCGAGGUUCGGAUUCGGAGCGUUAUUAUUUGCCGUCGUUAUUAUUCGAAUUCUCCUCUUGGAUGAAUUUGGCGACGACGAGAUGUUUUUCACCUCGUUAAAAAGUGACGCUUUUUAUCCAUUUAUAGUUACGUUUAAUGUUGCGGAACAGCCCUGAAACGAGUUCUGGCGUUAAUAAUAAUAAUAAUAAUAAUAAUAAUAAUAAAAAACAACAACAGCUAGUCACGUUACCAAGAAACCGCAACGUGUAAGACUUUCCUGUAAAGUCAAAGCUUUACGCGCUGACACUGGAGACUCCUUCCGUAAGUGCUGCAUAAACACCUCCUCUCAGAACACUUCACACUACCGGCGAUUGCACGCGUUUUUUUUUUUAUCAGUUCAUGUGAACGAGCUGUUGCUAUAGAAAUGAUAACGUGUUUGGAUGAGCGUGUUGAUAUAAACCUGUCAGAGCUGCUGCUCUAGGGAAUUAAUCAACACCUCCUGACCAAUCAGAUUCCCAGAUCCCAGGGCUGGCGCGUUGUAUGGAAUGGUCACGUGUUCGAUACGAGUCCUGAAAAUAGGAUCCUUGUUGUUUCUUAUCGACAUUCUUUCCAUUCUUUCCGUUCCUUUUGCUCAUCCCUCUCAUCUCGUCGCUCCAGGCCGUCCGCGUUUGAAGUGGUCAGCGUCAGCGGUCAGUCCUCUUUCAGCUCGUCUCUUGUGGAGGGCCGGGCGGAGGAGUGUGUGCUGGAGUGGCACUCGGCUCGUCCGCUCGGCUCGUCCCCUCCGCCGCCUCUUUGAUGCCUUUAUUCGGCGCUGAUGCUCAUUCAGCCGUUAGUCGAGUGGGUGGUGAUUGUUAAGAGGCUCUCAGAGAGGCGAUGCCAGUCCUCCUGCCCACUCCCCGCCUCCCUGCCUCGCCCCCCUCCCCGGGGGGGUGGCCUCUUACUCCGCGCAUCCUUUCAAGUGCGCUUCGAGGCGGGAGGAGGAAGAGCUGGAGCACGCACUGCCUUUCUCUUUUGUUUUAGUUGAUGUUGUUGUUGGUGUCAGUGUCACUUGUAGAGGGUGAAAAGAGUGUGUAGGUUGAUUCGCAUUCAUUCAUUCACUCACUCACACACACACACACACACACACACACACACACACCAGCCUCCCAUUCAUUAAAGUUCAUUCGCAUUCCACUGGAGGCAUUGAAGUUUUCUCAUUCAUGAAGCUUCAGCAUCCUGUAGAGCUCAGCAGGACAUGUAUCCUUGUAUGUAAAUAAGCACACACACACACACACACACACACACACACACACACACACACACACACAUACAGAUCUAAUAUAAUACACAAAGACACACCCACACCCUAGGGUUUGUUUCAAUCUCUGCAUGGGAGACAGCCACCUUACUGCAACAAAAGACGUCACUGACAUCGACUUUCCUACAGGAAAUGGAUUAUAUAAGGAGCGUCACGGUCAUUUUGUCCGAGCGGAUCUUUUGAUCUGGGGCGUGCGAGUGUGCGAAGGACGUAUAUAGUGAGCACUCGUCCUGAUCUCACCAGGUUUUUUCACCGAGAGUAAAAUAAACUUUAUUUACUUUUGCGGUCGUCUCAAAUACAAUAGAAUGCAACACAGUGCAAUAGUAUACAAGCGUAGAUAGGAGUGUGUGUGUGUGUGUGUGUGUGUGUGAGAGAGAGAGAUCAAAGUAAGGUAGCUUCAGUAAGGUACACAGACAUUAUUAGGCAGAUUGGCUCUUUUAUAGUGUAAAUGGUUUCUCGGGCAGCUGGUCUGUGACGUCCGUGUUGAACUCGUCCGCUCCCGUUUCCUCUCAGCCGCGGCGUAACGGACGCUUUAUCGUCGCCUUGCGCGUUUGUCGUCUUUGGGUUUUUCCUCUCCGGCCCUACAGACAUCCUGCUGCGUUUCCCAGAGUAUCAUGACAGCUCUUUAGCAUUUCCUUUACUGCGAGGAGACGGAAAGAGACAGAAACGAGGUGGUCGAGAUGCGCAGCCGGGGGUCGGAGGGUUGUGAGUUUAACGCUCCGGCCACACGCAUGCACGUAUUUCUGAAAACUCUGUGUUUUCACACACACGCACAAAACCUCUCUUGGUAUUCUGUCGUAAACUGUAAACACGUUAUCAAGUGAGAACACAUUUUUGAAAACAUUGUUUGACCCAAAGUGUUGACAAAAUGCAGCGAAAAAACCCCACGUUCUCAAAAAUAUCUGUCUACAUGUGGGCGGGGCCUGCGUCAGGUAUUACUAUGUAUCCUCCUUAGUUUUUUUUCUUCUAUGGAUUUGUACCUACAAUGUUAAUAUACUAUAGCUAGUUAGUUUUAUUAAUAUAUUAUAUUAUAUACCUAGUUUUUUAUAUUAUAGGGUUUUUUAAAAAAAAUAAUAAACAUAUCAAUCAAAAGUGAGCUGUAAUAUCACUCGAGUCGCCUCUAAUGCACAGUUCCCGCCUUCAAACUUCUUUAGGCCACACCUCCUGCCUGAGACUGUGUGUGUAUGUGUAUGUGUGUGUGUGUGUGUGUGUGUGUGUUGGGCAGAACUAAUUCCCUGGGUAAUUAAUCACCUGUGCCUGUCAGUCCCGGUAAAGGAGGCGUGGCUUGUCCUAGUUUUGAGCAGUUCGUCUGAGAUUUACAGGCUUUUCACGUGUGGUUUUGACCACCGUGUGAAUUUCGACACUCGAACCCAAAAGAAAUCUUUCAGCCCUGGAAACCGGGGAAGAAAAACCCCUCGGGCAGACGUCAGUACAAUGUUCUGUGUCAGGUUAAACGGACAUAACGGUCAAAAUAAAGUAAACCGCAGUGGUGCCGUAGUUCUACUGCAGUAACGCCGCUUCCUCUAAUCCGUAAUUCAGCCCUUAUUGCUUUAGACACCGGGAUCCAUUUCCUCGUUGAGACGUUUAGAAACGUCUGUCAGUCCUCAUCGGGUUCCUGGUUGUGCCCCGAGGACUUUGGCGGCGUGUUUGGCGUUAAGGUGGGGAUUGCGUAAGCCGCGGCGGCUCCAAAAAACGCCGCCGAAGUCACAGAAAGAAUCGUUUCAGUCGCUGCUAAUCGGGGCUGAGUUGUGAGCUAAAGUGCGUGUGUGUGUGAGGAGGUGAGAGAGUGAGACCACUGUGUGGAUUCGGGUUCUUGCGGUUUGAAGUUUCACUCGCUGCUCGGAAAGCUUUUACGACGGUCUUUAACGAUGUAAGACAAACCGCACGUUCCACAAAUCGUAGACCAAAUCGUGUAACUCGGAGGAAAGUCCUCGCGUAUACACCCAGACACCACAGCACUCUCGUUACACAGCGUUCCUCAGAGGUGCUUUCACUGCUUAAACUCUUCUUUAAGAGCUUCCUGUCUGUUGCGCGGCUCCGUUGUGCCCGAGAAACCAACCCAAGCGUGGUACCUUCUUAGAUUUCUGAAGGAUUUAACAUGCAGGAACGAAAGACAACAAAAAAGGGUUCCGGGAGAACUUUUUCUGUGAUACUCGCCCUCACACAGUUCUGUGCUUGAGCUCGUCUCCUGCUUGCUCUCUCAUUAGCAUCGUACUCCGUUUGCACUGGUAUGGUACCAGUGCUGGUUCUGAGUUCAGCACCAAAUCUCGCCAGACUCCGGCGCUCUCGGUUUCCGUAAACAUCGGCGUUCACCGUACAAGUCCCUGUGAGCGAGCCGUCACUAUAGAGACGAUGACGUAUUCAAACAAGCGCGCUAGAAUGAAAUGGAAAGAUCUGUCAUUCCCACAUCUGAUCACGUUGAAGUUCGGCUCCUGACGUGAUGAAAAGCGGGUCGGUUCUGAACCCGAGAGCCUGGAGUUAAACCUCGACUGCUCUGCUCUGUUCUUGGAGAGGAUUUGUUUGCAAUAAAAGUUUCUGCCAAAUGAAUAAACACGAAGAUAAAACGCCAGACUGUGAGAACGAACUGUUGUUCGUUCUUUUAAGGAAUUCCAGCACGGUUCUGAGUGACGGCAGCACCCGGGUCGAUUCUGGGCCUCGUGAUUUAUGACAUUUCAUUAAACAUUUGCAUGCACGUCGGCCAAAUCCAACACCUUCCUUCCCUCAUCUCGGCCACGUUCUCUCUGCCAGAGAAAGAUGUGUGAAAAUGAUCAAACCGAACAGGAAACCUGUCCACCGGAGGGAAUAUAAGGGAGUUAGAACCUGGUACUGGGAAUCGUUUGAUCUUUUCUGAUGGAGGUCGUUGAUGUCUUUUAAAUCUUUAAGCUGACAUUUUAUCCACUCGCAAUUCCUGCAGGGGAAAUGAUUCCCCGUCUCAUCUCCCCGUCACCUUUCUCCUCCGUCCGAGUCCGAACGCAUCACGUCUGCGUCUGCGUCUCCACGUCUCGGCUCGAGGACUCGGAAACCGGAGCCGCGCGUCAGCUCUGGACGCCCUGAGUCCUGCGGUGCAGCUGGGUCUGCUCGUGCCAGACGCUGCCGGAUCUGCAGCACACACUCGUUUAUUAGUCUGAUCUGAAAGGGAAAUAAAAGCCCGGGCACGUUUCCAGUUUUUAACGUCUGCACGCACAAACAUCUCACGAAAUGUUGGAUAUGUUUUUUUUUGUUUUUUUGUUUUUUUAUCAAACAUGCAGGAUGAUGAUUAAAUACGGAUCGAUAUUAAACAGGUGUUUACGUUUAAUCUGCGUUCUCAUGGAUGGGGUGAGUGUUUUAUUAAAUUCAGGUGAACAUGGAGGGUAAACCAUAAUAUAAAUAUUAAAAGGGAUGUAGAAAUUCGGACAUUUUAAUAGAUCGCGAGUCUGUUUUUGUUUGUUUAUUCAGUUAUAGUGCUUGUUGCUGAAAUGUAAAACUUAAAAAAAAAAAUAUAUAUAUAUAUAUAUAUAAAUAAAUGUUGAAUUGUUAAACUAAAAACUGUAAUGAAUUUGUAUUUAUUAUCGGUGUUGGAGAUGUGAUGGUGACGGUGAUGGUGAUGAAACGCUGGAUCGGUUCCGGAUCGGAUUUUCUGCUUUAACUCUUUCACUAGUAGCUGAUACUCGGAGCGCUGAUUUUUGGAAACGUGGAGGGAAUGUAAAGCCGUAAAGAGAUUAGUGGAUAGUGAAUAGUCAUUUUUAGUUAUACUGAAGUCAGGGUGUGGUCUGAGACUGUGUGUGUGUGUGUGUGCGUGUGCGUGUGUAAGAGAGAGAGAGAUAAAGUUGCACAGUAAUCCUGUUUAAUGAAACUCAUUUCUCUGUAAUCCACUGACAACUCAAAUGAUACGCACACACACACACACACACACACACACCGCACCACCCUGUGUGUGUGUGUGUGUGUACAGUAUCUGCAUAGAACUUGUAUGAGAGGUUCCCAUAACCGUGUGUGUUUUUAACAUCUCGGUAUAAACACUGAACCUUUCCUUUCUUCCCCUCACACGUUGACGGCCGACCCGUCUGUUUCUUCCUGACCCACGACUAAAACCGGCUCCGCUUUUGGCAGCAUGAGUCUUGCUUCCCACCUGCGGCUCACCUCACACGCUCGAGUCGUAUCCUUCCAUCUUGUUUUCCGUCCUCUGAGCCUUAUUUUGUUGAAAUGUGCAUAUUCAGGAACGUGGAGGCUUCUAGUGUUUCACUGCCUCGGUGUGCGACUUCCACUGGAACGGAGUUUCACCUUUUAUAGCCGUUCGCUGGUCCUAAAUCACUCACUGUGUGUGUGUGUGUGUGUGUGUGUGUGUGUGUGAGAGAGAGAGAGAGAGAGAGAGAGAACUUAUGUUCCUGAUCUUGAUUUGAUUGAUUGAGCGCUGCAUUAACCGCUACAGAAAUUAAUUGAGCUUCUCUUCAACGUCUUGCGUCCCUCCAUUACCCCCCACCCCUCCUCCCCCCUCCCCCAGGAGGCAGCUUGCGGUCGCUUUUUCAUGAUUGGUCGAGCGACUGAAGUGUUUUGGUUGAAAUAUGGCCAGGCCGUCACUCCCUCUACCUGCCGCUUAUCUCUCUGCAGAAAUUCACGACGUGGAUCUCUGGCCCUCGCCCAGAUCAGAUUUGCAUAUCACCCUGUGUUCAGAGAGCCAGGAGCCUCGAUUCGAUCGAGAUAAAGUCGUUAAAGGUGGAAGUGGCGAGGACUGGCGUGUAAAGAUCAGAGCGGAUCGCACGCAGCUUGCAGACCAAACCCUCAGCAGCUUCUCACACGCAACAAGGGACAAACACCGUUUUUUGUUUACUUUCUCAUCAGGAAAUGCUUUUUCAGUUUUUAUCUCGUGAUAAGUGCGUGAUACGAAACAUCAUGGGUAGUCUUUCAAACCCAGAGACGUCGUAAAUCCGCCAGGUUGUACAGAUUUACACUGAGAAAAUGGCCUGUUUUUUAAAAAUUUCAUCAGACCGAAUAGUUUUCAUUUUAUAACGAAUUUAAAACCCGUUUGGGUGAAAUGAGAGAUUCUUAUCUGGCAACCCUAAAGGACGAGUUUCCACUGAUAUCAUCUUACAAAAGAACACUUCACGACCCGAUACAAGUUACGAUAUUAACUUGCUAGCUAGCUAUCUAGAGGUGAUGUAGCGUAUGUACAGUUACUGAAUCGAGAGAUUCUAAGCUAGCUAGCUAUCUAGAGGUGAUGUAGCGUAUGUACAGUUACUGAAUCGAUAGAUUCUAAGCUAGCUAGCUAUCUAGAGGUGAUGUAGCGUAUGUACAGUUACUGAAUCGAGAGAUUCUAAGCUAGCUAGCUAUCUAGAGGUGAUGUAGCAUAUGUAUAGUUACUGAAUUGAUAGAUGAACCACUUUAUUCAAUACCAUAUUUUACCAAACGCUUUAUUUUAUACAGUAGAAUAGAUUUUAGCUAACUACCAAGUUGACUAGCUAGCUUAUUCAUUGGCAAGCUAACACAAGCUGAUGAUUUCAGUCUGAUCCUGUCUAAAAUAAUGGGGUGUAAUGUUUUGGACUGAUGCGUCAAAGUAAAAGGGAAACGUAGAAAUGAAUCGCAACAGCUUGUGUGUAAAAAUAAAUAAAUAAAUAAUCUGAUUUUUAAACUGUAAACAGGCUAGCAAGGUGAUUUACCAUUCUGUACAUCAUCAUCGUUCUUGAAUUAACGUUACUCCUACCCCAGAUUCUGAACAAAGUCGGUCACGUAUCAAUCACGUAUCGACGCAGACUCGACGUCUGAGGUUAAGAGACCUACUCUGAAUGUUACAACAAACAGAAUGAAGGGAUCGACUGUAUUUUGGGAGCACAAACCUUGCCAAAAUCUCCCUAGCAAUCUUGCGCAUGUGAAUUUUUGUGACUUAUAAUCAGUCACGGCCUCACGUCUGUCCCCGGAGCCUGUUGCUACUCGUUUUACGUUUCUGAAACGUGAAAGUCGUGUGCGUGUAAUCGUCUCGGAAAUGCCCUCGGGUUGUAUUGCGCACAGCUAGAUCUGACGUUCCAGCUUUCCCUUCAUUCCGAAGCUGCUUUAUCUCCAGCGUUUUAUUGGACUGACUGUAUAUCUAUGGCCGUUUAUGAGCCUCUCCGUAUUUGGACGCCUGAACAGGGCCAACAAUAACACGGCAUAUUAAUUGCUAACUCUCUGGCUUGCUGGCUUUGUGUGCGCUUGGCAUCGGGUGGGAAGGCCAUUAAUCUCACCCGGCGAACAAGGGGACGCUCUCAAUGGAUGCUGUUCCGCCCAUUUUAUGCUUCAUUCUCAAAACCUGGAAAGCCACUAAAGAGUGUGAGAAAGAAAGAGGUUCCUCUUAACUUGAUCUUUCCGAAGCGUGACCGGAGACCCUGAUAGAGAGAUCUUGGCAUCGGUGGACGAGGGAAGGAGUGCAUUUUACCCACUGCUGAAACCAAAUGGGGGUUUAAACGUAUUUGUGCUUGUUCUUGUACAGUUUGUGCGCUGUUUAAUCGCUUGUCACUUGAGUUUGCACCAAAGUGUUACGAAGUCUAAUGAUAGAGUGGGGUUUGUCAACAUUAAGUUGUAAGCUUAAACGCAAAGUACAGCUGGAAGACACGUCAGGCGUGGGUAUAAUGGAAUUUUGGCAUUAAAUAUGUGUUGGGGUGUACAGGGGUGCACAUUUUUGGCGUGUUGAAAAGCCAGAACCUCGAGUGUCGAUGUGGGGUUCUUCCUGGUUCUCUGGUUUCCUCCCACCUCCCAAAAACAUUGGCAGUGGUUUGGAAAAUCUCUAAAUUUCCCCUGGGUAUAAAUCCGUGUAUAGAGUGGUUACUGGAGGCCAUUUACUUUUUCACUAUGUCGAAGUUGUUAUUCUUUGAGCCCAACAGGAAAAUGGCGCCUUCGUUUUAAACGUCCUUCUUCUCACGUGUCUUUGCCCAGAGGGACUGACAGCUUUGGGUCAGGGGUCAGCCACGAGGUCACAGUUUAGGAUGUCUGCCGUGUCAGUCAAGCACGAUUGGAUGGCGUGUCUGCCAAUCAAACCCCACUGGAACGAGCUCUGACAGGUUCUCAGGAUGGAGAUUUUUAUUAAGGUAGUCUGGGGCUGGAGGAUAUUAUCGGUCUGAUCUUGACGGACGUAAAUCUGCAGGUCUGUCUUUGUUGUUUAUCUUUUACCUGUAAUGUGUGAGAAGGGUAAAGGCAAGAGCACACCACCAUGACGUUCUUCAAUCUGUGUGUGAUUGCCGAGAAAUUUUUACACUGGUUUGUUCAGUCCUUUGGGCGUGUCUGCUCCUCUGCUAAACAUUCUACAGCUAAAUCUUUUUGCUUUUCUUUUUUGGUGUGUAGGGGAAAACAUGACCUUGCCUCCAAGCCCAAGUGUGUGCAGGACAUGUGUGCACGAUGUCAUAUAAGGGUACGACUUGCUCGUGCCCCAGAGCUCACCCCACGGCUCAGAGGAUUAAUGUCAGUCUGUGCAGACAGCAGAGGAAAGAGAUUGAUUCUAUUACAGGAGCUUUCUACAGCUCGGGAACGCAGCAGGGGACUGCAGACCAAGGUAGAGAGGAAGUGACCAAAUCUUGCCCUCGGGUUGAACAUGGAGACUUGAUGCCAAGUUUGCUCAAAUAACAUCACAGACCUGCUGAAAAGGCAACGAAGCAAUUGGGAAUAUGAAAAUAGAAUAUUGUGUGUGCAUGAUUAUGGGUGUAGUGAUGCACAGAAGCACCGAUGUAUUCAUUGUAGUGUUGGGAUUUUUAAAAAAAAAUUGGGUUAGUCAGAAAAUCUGACUAGGGUUCCUCAAGGGUUCUUGGGAUGGUUUCUAAAGCUUUCUAAAGGUGUUUUGGAUCAUUAUGUGAAAAGACAAGCCAUCUGUUGUAGAGUAGGGUUCUACACCGAAUCUUCAAGGGUUCCUGCUGAUGCUACAAACCAAAUUACCAUUUAGGGCUUUCUAAAGGUGCUUUGUAACCUUUUAUGAAAGAAAAACCAUCUGUUAUAGGGUUCUAUGUAGAAUGCUUACGUGUUCCCACCAGGGGUACAAACUGUUGGACUCCUUAUGGCUUUCUCAAGAUGUUUUGGAACCUUUAAUGAAAGAGAAAUCAUCUGUUUUAGGGUUCUUUUCAAGGGUACAAACCAAAGGCCCGCUUACGGUUUCUAAAGGCACUUUGGAACCUUCCUUAAUAAAGACACCUUCUGUUGUAGGGUUCUACAUAGGAUUUUUUUAAUGGUGCCCACUGGGGGUUCAAACUGAAGGACCACUCGGGGCUUUCUAAAGGUGUUUUGGGUCAUUUUAUGAAAGAGAAGUCAUCUUUGUAGGGUUCGACAUAGAAUCGUUAAAGGGUCCGACUAGGGGUACAAACCGAAGAACCCUUAAUGGCCUUCUAAAGGUUCUUUAGAACCCUUUAUGAAAGAUAGAGUUGAAGGGUUCUCGUCAGGGAUGCAAAAUGAAGGACCGUUUAAGGCUUUUUAAAGAUGUUGUGGAAUCUUUUAUCAAAGAGAAAUCAUCUCUUCUAGGUUCUACAUAAUAUCUCUAAGGUAGUGCAAAACGAAGAACCAUAUAGGGUGCUAAAUGUGUGUAAAAAAUUAUUAUUAUUAUUAUUAUUAUUAUUAUUAUUAAAGGUUUUCCUCAAAAUUCCAGUGCAUCAUUUAACUGUUCUCAGCUUCCUAAUGAUGUACUAUUACCUGGGAACCAUCUCUGAUAUGGGUUUGCAUACGGUUAUUUAAGAAACCUUCAAUUAAUUUUACAAGUGGAGUGUAUGUUUAACGUGGUUACUAACCUGUCCAUCCAAUCCAUGUGUCUGAAGAUAAAUUCGGAGCUUUUAAAACAAGUCAACAGCACGAAACAUACUCCGAGACGUGGAAGAUAGUGAGACGUGGGAUGUCCCUCUUGGAGAAUCCCACAUAGAACCCUACAAAAAAUGUGUCAGAAAGGAUUUCACGGAUGCUACAAACCCUGAACUACCCCAAAACCUUGAAGAACCCUUUGUUUACCCUCAGAGUGUAGCACCUUCAAGAUGAGGCCAAAUUAAGCCAUGAAGUUCUGGAUGUCUGGUGGAGGAUUUGGAUGAUGAAAGCCUUGGACGGGGGAGGCAGUGGACUUGCAUGCCAAUGCUUAACUUAAAAAAAAAAAAAAAAAAAAACAGGAGGGGGAAAAAAGCUGUGGAAUUAUGGGACCACUCUAAUCUGUGCAGAUGUUUAGGAAGACGAAUGGAGCUCCGAUCUUGCCUAUGCCCUGCAAAGAACGAGGCCAAUGAACUCUUAAGUGCAUUUGGGAGUACACAUAGGAAGAGAAAUAUGGCUUGGCUGGUGUCCUAAUAUUCCACAGGGUUCUCACUAAAUUCCCAGUGUAGCGCAGAUAAAGCCCAGCGGAGUCAGGGGCUCUGGGUUACGUCUCAAUGUUUAAUCUAAGUCUCAUAUGGGAUUGAUUUUAUACGGGGUUUGGAAGCUUUGAAUUAUAGACGUCACAGUAAAUAAAAACCUCUUCACUUUUCUACGGUGUAUUUUUAAAUAAAAAAAUACAUUUUUUUGCCAAAGUUUUUUCUUUGUUUUGAAAAAUGUACGGGUAAAAUUUACCUUCACAGACAUAUUCGAAAUGAUGGAUUACAGUUUUGAAGAAAAAAAAAAAAAAAAAACCCUCUGAAUCCUAAAUACAAAUGUUCAAAUCUGCUAGCGUCCACGACGUGAAAUGAAUUGAAGAGAUGUGGAGUAGAGUCGAGUCAAAAUGGAUGAUGUAAUCUUCCACUUAGCAAGUUCAAAACAAAGAAAAAGCACUGUACAAUUUACGAAAUAAACCACAGAGAAAAGCUCAUUUUCUUUACAAAGGUCGAGAUAUAAUGCAUGAAGCAAAAGCCUAAAAUCUAGCCGGUUGCCUUUUUCCAAAGUCGUACUCUCAGUGGGGGUUUUCUGAAGGAUUUGGAAGAAAGUUGAAUGUUGAAACGUGAAUCUUUCUGUGAAACGGCACUGAAUCGUUUCGGUUCUCUCUGCUCGUUGUGCUCCGGGGGAAUGGGAGUCGGGCGUAUUGAGUGUUUUCUGGUUGGACGCAUGGCUCUGGGAAAACAAGAUGAUUUCCAACAAUUGCUAAAUGCCUCUGGGAUCUGUGUGACCCACUGUGUUCGUGUGUUUCUGAUUGAUGAACUCGCUCGAAGUGAAUUUUAUAUUGGACAGGGAUGGCAGUUUGUCCCAGUUUGCCUUGUGACCUCACAAUGGAGGCCAAUGUUGUUGUUAUUUUUUUUCUUUUUACAUCAUUACUCGGUCGUGGAAAUCGAUAGAACCUUUGGGAAAACCUUUCUAUUCUCUCUAACCGCGUCCUCUGCACAGAAACGCCGUCCUGGGAGCUUUACGACGCCACGUAUGUGUCCGAGAUCGAUUUGUCCACGGCUUCCAUGUGUCUCCGUUUCUGCUCGGAGUCUGACAGUAGUGUUUCGGAGAGCUCUGGGUAACUUCUUGUCAUCUGAGGCUUUAGUUCGGGUGAUGGAGCUUCAUUAUCUGUCUCAGACGGGCUUGUUAAGUGAGUGACACUGAAGGAACUUGCGUCUGUGUGCCUCGGACGUCUAAUCACGCAGUUGAUAAGCGUGGUAACGAUAACAGCAGAGAUAACUCUGAUGGACUUCUCUAAGUGGCUAAUAAGAGAGGCUUACGGUGUCAGGGAUGGAAAGAAGACCACCAAAGGUGUGGUGUCCGUUCAGCUUCUUGAACUAUAAAAAAAACAAAUCCUAAUCUUAAGAACAUUUUUUUUUAAUCCUUGGCUGAGAUAGAAAAAGGUCAUGGACUGAUGCAGAGAUGAUGAGGUAGAGUCUGAUUUUUGGAUGGAACAGCAAGUGUAAGAUCUGUGAUUAUCCGCUGCUUUUCUGGUGAUGUCAUCUUUAUGGAAGAUUUAAGAAAAAGCUAAAUGGAUAUAUAUUAGGAUCAAGAGUCGUGUUCGAGUGGCUGUUGUUGUUGUUGCUUCUGGGAUUUGAACUCACAACCUUAACCACUGUGGCGUAAUACUCGACCCAGUACUGUGAAGCAGGGAUGCACACCAGAGCAAACACUCUACAUUCCAAAGUUCUUUCACACCAAACUUCAGGAUGUGAAACGUGGAUUUUUCCAGACCGGACAGCUAUGCUAAGCUAACACGCUAAGCCUGCACCCUGUUGACUUGCUGUUGAUCAUCAUUAAAAUUGGCCCACUUAAGAGAAUCACUUAAGAGUGCUCAGUCGCUCACGAUCGAUCUCUGGAUUGUGUUCAUGGAGCCAAACGAGGCCAGCUGGAUGUUUUUUAUUGAUUCAGCGGUGUCAAGGGCCGAGAGCCACCUCACUUGUCCCUGCUGAACAGUCAGUCUUGUGGAUGUUCUGGUUCAUAGCCUGAACGUAUCAAAGCACAGUUAAAAAAAAAAAGCAAAACCCAACAACAAAGGUAAUUCACCCAGCAGCAGUUUGCAACACAAACGAGAAUGAAAAACGGUUCUUUUCCCGUCGUGUGGAUCACCUGCUCACCGAACACCGAGCGGUGACGAAUUGCACCAAUCUGAGGCCCCGUUUCGAGUUUAAACGCUCUCAGAUCUCCUAAGAUAACAUAACAAAUAGCAGAUUGAACCCACUAAUUGUGGCAUGUUUUUGCGGUGAAAAUGUAACAUUCUAUACCUUAUCAUUUUUUCCCCCUUCUAUUUGAAUUCAUCUCGCUAUUCAGAAGUGAGAUUCAACCUGAGGCUUAAAAGCGCCAACGCAUGACAUCAUCUAACACACGUGCGCAAACACGCGGCUUGUGGGUCGAGUGUUAAUGGCGUCCUGAGAAAAGACUGAUUACAGACUGAGUGCACGUGCUAUCAUUAUGUAUAGUGACUUGAAGUUAACGUUUCAGCCUCCUGUAGCCGGGUCUUUUCGUUUUACUGGGUACAAGGCCAUUGUACAUCUGAAAACUACUACAAGGGCAAAGGAUGCAGGAUGGAGAAACACUUCUAAUCGCGGUUACUAUGAGUCCUAGAUGCAGAACCAAAACUCCAGGGGGUGGAGCUGGACCAGAUCCAACUCCUCCUCCGAACCCUAACUUAGGAGAUGCUGUACAACACGGAACAAGAAACCCUUUGACUUGUCCACACACACCGGAUGUUUGGUCCAGCUUUACCAAGGUAGGAGGAGCUGAUCAGGUCCGACUCCACCCCCUUAACUUUUGGUCCUACAGCGAGGGGUACUUUUGCUUUGCACCAAUUUUAUCUAGCUAAUGCAUGCUAGGCUUUUCUUUUCAGCAAUGUCAGCACCAUAACAAUGGCUCAAUAAUUCACGUAGCCUUUUUGCUGACACUUCGUUAAUUUGCUUGAAAUUUCCCACACACCGAGAAGGACACAGAUCCGGAGUCUGUCUGAUAGACCUGCUCCUCUUCAGCCUGUCCCCGCUAUUAGGGACACUCUGUCUGAGAGCAGAAGCCAGAGAUAGACAGGCUUUUGUUCACACGCGCAUGAUUGUCCUCGUUCUCACUCUGCCGCUUGUCUUUGCUGUGGUCACGAUGGAAGGAGAUUACAGACCACAAGCAGCGAGCAGCUAAGUCGGCUUGACCCGGGAUACCCCCACGCUUAUCAUGUCUGCAGUGUCCUCUUCUCUCCUCUUCUCUCCUCUUCUCUUCCUGUUUCAUUCAGUGGUCAGGGAUGCUUAAGGUAUCUACUGGGAGUGUUUGUUGGAUUCGGAUGGAAACUGAGCCCCAGGUGGGUGAUGGGCGUGUCUUGUUUUCUAGUCUAGAUUUCUCUCCACCUCUUGCUUGAGGGUGUCGUGGCACUCCAGUUUCGACCGUGAUGGGGGUGACCUUGACAAGACGUUGCUAAUGUGAGACGGAGGAAAGGGGCUGGGCGUUCCAGUGGGUCAGUUAAUAUUGGAGAGUUCAGAACACCUAUGCAACUGUUAAUCAUUCAAGAUUCAAAAGUUGACUGGCUCAUGUGCUGUUUUCACGGUGGACUGAGUGAUAACUCGUAAUGGCAUAUCCUCUUAGGAUAGUUGUGUCUACUUGAACAAAAAACGGUCUAACCUGCAACCAAGUGCUAACCUGGAACUUAUGACAUUUACAAACCGUCUUCGCUUCUUAUUGGGCAGCGGUAGCUCAGUGGUUAAGAUUGGAAGGUUGCGAGUUCAAACCCCAGCAAUUCCAAGCCUCCAGUUCUGGGCCCUUACCCCUCAACCGCUCUGUUGUAGAAACCAGAUAAAUGUAAGUCACUCUGGAUAAGGACGUCUGCCAUAAAUGUAAAUGUUUUUUUUUUUAUUUAUUUUUUUUUUACAGAACCCCAAACAGAGGUAAUUCUCACCAGACUGAUCCGUACUAGUUAACCCUUCAGGAACGCCCUAGUAGAUUAAGGGUUAACACCAGGCACGCUUUCCUUUCCCAUGGGAGUGUGGUGGUGUUGACGAGGGGCUCCGUUUGUUAGCAGCUAAUCGCCUUCCUCACGGAUGAGUGGCUCCUGAAAGUGACUCAGAAAAAUGAUCGGAUGGAUGGCCCUGUUGACACGAGCGUGUGAAACCCCCCCAAAAAAAAGAAGCCCAGAGUAAUCUCACUUCCUUCCUGUUCGGUCUGGGAAACCGGGUUGAUCAUUGGUCCUCGUUGGCACCUGGCUCUUCCCCGAUAGGCCAACGGUGCAUGUCAUCCUAUCAGCUCUGUCUAUUUAGAAGGAAAAAAAAAACGAAAGAAUGUCGUGGACAGAAAAGCGCCCGAAGCCUGCCGCCCACGGGCAUGAGAGGAAAAGCUGACGCUGGGAUUUUAGAGGAAAGAUCUCACUCGAACACACAAUGGCUACCAAACAGGAAGUGGCAGAACAAUCUUUCGCCCACUCCGGCCGUGUUGUGACCUCCAGGGCUGCAGCAGCGAUAACCCGGCAUUCCUGAAACCUCGCUGGGUAGGACGCUGGGAGCUUUCUCUUGCUCCCGGGUCACCGGAGGUCACCUUCCUGCUUCUUUUACGGCUGUAAAUCAGUCGCGCUCCUUGUAUUCGUUCAGUCUACAUCAUUUAACAAAUAUUAGUCAAUGAGCUGAGAUGACGUACAAUGUGCGAGACUCCCAGUUUUACACCGGAACACUUUAACACUGUACAAGCUUUCACAGUCUUCAAAACAUUUACAAUGCAACGACAGUUUGAAUAAUUAGAUGGGAUUGCAACAACUUAAUGACGAUUUCUCACACAGCUAAAGAGCUUAUGGUUUGAAAUAAUAUAUUGGCGAAUAAAUAACGGAAUGAAAACAGCACUCAGACUUUUGGACGCUACCGUACGUCCACCCCUGGGAUGUCACAGGAUGAAGUGAAGUGUUGUAGAAACCGGGGCGAAAAAAAGCUGACCUCCUGAAAGUUCACCUCCGUGUCCUCAAUAAAACUCCCUAACGCUACGCCCCACCCCUUCCUGUUCCAGUUUCCGACUCGGCUGUACCUCGUAUCUCCCACUUUCCUCUUGUCCUUGUCAUGUUUAUUUGCGGAGGGCAUUGUGUGCUUGUUAGCCGUGAUGUAUUGUCUUCAUCCUGCUAAACAAUGCUGCCGAUUGCUUCCUGGGAAUGUUUAAGGACACGGACACAGGCGUCCUCCGUCUUGGUGCGAACUCGCAUGGCCUCGGUGUCACGUAAUAACUCGCGCUGUACUUACCUCCGUGCUGACUAGUUCAUGAAUAACCGGAGAACCGAUACGUUUUGUUUUGUCCUCGCAGAAUCCGACAGCUCCAGAGGAAACGCGUGGGAUCUUGUACAGGAAAUGGACGCGAACAGGGGAGUAACGAAGACUUUGAUAACAGGAAAUGAUUCAUUCAAAAUGUCAAAACCGGUAUUAAAAGGAAUAAAAUAAUAAUUGAUGAGACACGGAAAUCAGGGAUUCCUGGCCAUGUGAAUCUAAUCAUAAGAGAGGAUCGAUGAUCCUUCACUUCAGUCUUGGAAUGAUCAAAGUCCCUGACUUUGAGACAUGGAUACGGGCGGGAUAUGGUCCUGGGGCGGCUGUGGAUCAGGUGGUAGAGCGGGUUGUCCAGUUAUCGUAGGGUUUGCGGUUCGAUUCCCGGCUCACGUGACUCCACAUACCGAAGUGUCCUUGGGCGAGACCCUGAACCCCAAGUUGCUCCCGAUGGCAAGUUAGCGCCCUGCAUGGCAGCUCUGCUCCCAUUGGUGUGUGAGUGUGUGUGUGAACGGCUGAAUGAGUGUAAAGCGCUUUGUAGAACCGCCAAGGUUAAAAAAAAAAGCGCUACAUAAAUGCAGACCAUUUACUGUAAGCUCACGUCACCUUAAGCGACACAAUGAAUAAUAAUUUGUGGCUUGUGAAAUAUUAAUAUGCGGUUUGAAUAUGUUCAUUUGUGUAACCACCAUGUCACCUCAGAUGCGUCUUCAUUUCCUUUUCAGAACGUUUCUGGUCUGAAUUCCGAACACGCGCGAUCGGAAGUGCGCGUCAUGUUUCCAGACGAUCAUAAACGAUGCUCCGUUGCAUGUCACACACUGUUAAACGAUGCUCGUUACACACUCGCGAGUGAGCAGGCGGCGUUUUCGGGGCAGUGUUUGUGUUCUCUUAUUCAGAAAGAACCUGUUUUUUCGCUCGGAAGGCAGACAAACCGUCACAACCUGGGUCUGGGUUUUAGGAAUCCGAAUAUGAGACGGGACUACAUGAAGAAAAAGUGGCCAAGGUGAACACGUCAUGCGUGCGCUGACAGGGGGUCAGAGGUCAUGAGGCAAAAGCAACAGCCACCUGGAGAUGCGGAUUAAUUUGGGAUUAUCGCUCGGGGGUCAGGGGCCGUCUGCCCUCGGGGGUGAGCGGGGUCAGCGUGAAUGGAUGGAGCAAUCUGCAGAAUCUCAAUGAGAGAAAGGGAAAAAGAUAGUGCGUGUGUGUGUGUGUGUGUGUGUGUGUGUGAGAGAGAGAGAGAGAGAGGUUGUUGAUUAAAAGUUAUUUGAAUGUUUUCUGCAAGGAGACAUGUAUUUAACGUUUAUGGAAGGAGUCUCCAGUGUCAGAGGUAAAGCUGAAACUUUACAUUUUCCGACAGCGGGACAGGAGAGUUUUACGCCCAGAGGUUUCUGAGUAACAUGGCAAGCUUCAGGGUUUAUAUUUUUGGACCAGCUGGUUGUUGAUUAUUUUCCUGUAUGCACACGCCCCAGAGUGUUUUAUUCUUUACUUUAUAUGGUUGUAGAAGAGAGAGGGAGUUUGGUGGAGGUUUUGGUUGGAUGGAGGCAGAACCCUCGCCGAUGAUGAGAAUCUCAUCAGAGCUGAUAAAAAAGAACACCAUUAGAGAGCUAGGGUGUGUGUGUGUGUGUGUGUGUGUGUGUGUGUGUGAGUGAGAGAGAGAGAGAGAG